AAAAGUCGUAACAAGGUUUCCGUAGGUGAACCUGCGGAAGGAUCAUUAAUAAAAGGAUACCUUCGGGUAUACCCCAUCCGUGUCUAUAUACUCUUGUUGCUUUGGCAGGCCGUGGUCUUCCACUGUGGGCCCUGCCUGCAUGUGCCUGCCAGAGGACCAAACUCUGAAUUUUAGUGAUGUCUGAGUACUAUAUAAUAGUUAAAACUUUCAACAACGGAUCUCUUGGUUCUG
rnacentral:misc_RNA from 1 species